GAUGAACGCUGGCGGUAUGCUUAACACAUGCAAGUCGAACGGACUCUUCGGAGUUAGUGGCGGACGGGUGAGUAACGCGUGAGAAUCUGGCUUUGGGUUCGGGGCAACCACUGGAAACGGUGGCUAAUACCGGAUGUGCCGAGAGGUAAAAGAGAAAUUGCCUGAAGAUGAGCUCGCGUCUGAUUAGCUAGUUGGUGAGGUAAAGGCUCACCAAGGCAGCGAUCAGUAGCUGGUCUGAGAGGAUGACCAGCCACACUGGGACUGAGACACGGCCCAGACUCCUACGGGAGGCAGCAGGGGGGAAUUUUCCGCAAUGGGCGAAAGCCUGACGGAGCAGUACCGCGUGAGGGAAGAAGGCUCUUGGGUUGUAAACCUCUUUUCUUAGGGAAGAACAAAAUGACGGUACCUAAGGAAUCAGCAUCGGCUAACUCCGUG
rnacentral:rRNA from 1 species